rnacentral:rRNA from 1 species
UGACCAUGAGUUUAACGGCCGCGGUAUUUUGACCGUGCAAAGGUAGCGCAAUCACUUGUCUUUUAAAUGGAGACCUGUAUGAAUGGCACGACGAGGGCUUAACUGUCUCCUUUUUCCAGUCAAUGAAAUUGAUCUUCCCGUGCAGAAGCGGGAAUACUAACAUAAGACGAGAAGACCCUGUGGAGCUUUAGACACUAAGCCAGACCAUGUCAAAUACCCCCGCCUAAGGGGUUGAACCUAUUAGGCCCCUGUCCUGAUGUCUUUGGUUGGGGCGACCUCGGGGAAACAAAAAACCCCCGCGUGGAACAGGAGUAUUCCGCUCCCAAAACUAAGAGCCACAGCUCGAAUUAACAGAAUUUCUGACCAACUACAGAUCCGGCUUUACGCCGAUCAACGGACCGAGUUACCCCAGGGAUAACAGCGCAAUCCCCUUUUAGAGCCCAUAUCGACAAGGGGGUUUACGACCUCGAU